AAUGAACGCUGGCGGCAUGCCUAACACAUGCAAGUCGAACGAGACCUUCGGGUCUAGUGGCGCACGGGUGCGUAACGCGUGGGAAUCUGCCCCUUGGUUCGGAAUAACUCAGAGAAAUUUGAGCUAAUACCGGAUAAUGACGUAAGUCCAAAGAUUUAUCGCCUAGGGAUGAGCCCGCGUAGGAUUAGCUAGUUGGUGGGGUAAAAGCCUACCAAGGCGACGAUCCUUAGCUGGUCGAGAGGAUGAUCAGCCACACUGGGACUGAGACACGGCCCAGACUCCUACGGGAGGCAGCAGUGGGGAAUAUUGGACAAUGGGCGAAAGCCUGAUCCAGCAAUGCCGCGUGAGUGAUGAAGGCCUUAGGGUUGUAAAGCUCUUUU
rnacentral:rRNA from 1 species